AUUGAACGCUGGCGGCAGGCCUAACACAUGCAAGUCGAACGAGUGGCGGACGGGUGAGUAAUGUCUGGGAAACUGCCUGAUGGAGGGGGAUAACUACUGGAAACGGUAGCUAAUACCGCAUACCAUCGGAUGUUCCCAGAUGGGCUUAGCUAGUAGGUGGGGUAACAGCUCACCUAGGCGCCGAUCCCUAGCUGGUCUGAGAGGAUGACCCGCCACACUGGAACUGAAACACGGUCCAGACGCCUACGGGAGGUAGCAGUGGGGAAUAUUGCACAAUGGGCGCAAGCCGGAUGCAGCCAUGCCGCGUGGAUGAAGAAGGCCUUCGGGUUGUAAAGUACUUUCAGCGGGGAGGCGUUACCCGCAGAAGAAGGCCCGGCUAACUCCGUGCCAGCCGCCGCGGUAAUUC
rnacentral:rRNA from 1 species